GUUCCUACAGCAAGUGGCAUAGGACUUGGUGGUUGGUAUCCGAGAUCCCAAGUUCGAAUCCUAAUUGAUUCACAUUUCCAGCUAAGUUUAUUUUUAAAUAAAAUAAAUAAAACGGGUAUCGUGCUAUUUGGUUAAUUUAUAAUUUUUUUAAUUAAUUAAAUUGGGGGUGGGCUUGGAGUAAAUCGUAAAAUGAGGUUUCAUUCGUAGUUACUCACAAGACUGCUCUGCAACAGUAUUAACAUACCAGUAACACUUACGAAAUAAAUAAGUAAGAGCAAUAUUAUCCGUAUAUCUAUAUUAUAGGUGUAAAUUUUACACUCUGAAUUUGUAAGGUAUGUACACAUUUUUAUCUGUCUCAUUAAUUUUUUUUACUAAAAAUUUUAAAUUUGAAAGAUGUAAAAUGUGCUCUCUCUAUAUAAGUAUAACAUUUUUCAUAUAGAAGAGAAAUCCUAGCCGUCCAAUCAUGCCGGGUACACUAAAUGCCCGGAUGAGCCAAUAGCGUUCAUUCCCCGGCAUGCAACGUUGCAGUACUUGCCAACGCCACAUCUUUCUCUCGACGCAGUCGCUGUCACCGUCAACGCGUCAACUUACUCCCACCUUUUUAGAAAAAUUACGAAAUGUUUACAUUACGGGCACGUUUUGUUCGCACAAUAAAAACUUAUUAGGAAUAAAAAAAUAUACGAGAAUCUUAUUUUUAUUCAUUCUAAUAUUAAGAAUGUAAUAUUUCGAUGUUUGAUUCGUACGGUCAUAUUAUUUAGUCAUAUUAUUUAAUAUUAUAAAAAAUAUAAAAUUUAUUUAUUUAUUUUUAAAAUUAAUUUUAAAUAAUACUGUAAAAAUUUUCAAUAUCUUUUUAGAAAAAAAAAAUAGAGAAUAUAUGUUAGAAAAAGAGUAUAAUUAAAGAAAUAGGAAGAGAAAUAAAAUCGAGAUUAGAUAGAAUAAGAGGGUUGAGAUUUUAGAAAAAGAGGAAGAGAAAUAGCUUAGUUUAAAAAGAGAAAAAAAGUUGAAGUUCAGAGAGAGAGAGAUAAGUUUAGAGAGAUAUAAGGUUAUAGUGUAAAGAAAAAUAAUACCAACUAGCCGACGGGUGAGAAGAAAGAAAGACAUUAGAUAUAUUAUAAUUAUCCCAAUCUAUUAAUAUAAGGAUACACACCCUCAUUCAAAGGAAUAAGAUUAGUACUUUGAGAUGCAUCUCAUUUCUAAGUAAAUCCAUUAUUACCAAUUAAAUUACUUACUGCGUUUAGCCAAACACCGUUAUAUUUUUAUAUUUCUAUUGGAUUACUAAAAAAUUUAAAAAGAUAGCGCGAACUAAACGCAUCCUACAUGUGGUGCAAAAAUACGAUAAAAAAAUAUUUUAUUUAAUUUUUUUAUAUAAUAUUAUAUUUUAUAUAUCACGAUAAGUCGAUUAUAAUAUAUUUUUUAUAAUUUUAUCAAAAAAUACAGAAAUAUAGUUUUAUAUAUUUUUACUCUAAUUUUAUUUUAUCUGAUAACGUCGUAUCAACUUCAAAAUCAAACUAAGCAUUAAUCUCGUAUCAAAAUUAGUUGCCCUCGCAAAGGAAGUACGGGUACAGCCAGCGUAGCUCCUUAAAAAAAGUACGUCUUUUGGACGGCGCUCAUGCCAGACACGUCUGCACUGGGUGUAAAUAUCACUCAGAAAUUAUAUUUUUUUAGGAAAUAUUUCAAAAACCUCCCGUUUCUUUUUUUUUUUUUAGCACCCUAUAAUUUAAAAUAUAUUAAUUUGGCUUCCUAUGAUUUUAUAUUUAUAUUUUCGAUAGCUUCUUUUUUAAUAUUUUAUUAAAUUAUAUAUAAAAAAUUUUAGAUACCCACAUCGAUUUAUCGAAUAUUUACUUUAAUACCCUUUAAUUUUAACUUUGUCACUGAUUUAAAAAAAUAAUAAUAAAAUUGAUAAUAAAAAGAGAAAAACGAAACCACUGCGGGAUAAAUUGAUACAUUUUAAACUAUAGAGUACUAAAAUAAGAAAGUGCGAAAUCACUGGGGAGUUUUUGAAGCUAUCCCUAUUUUUUAUUUGUACAAACAAUUAAUUGUGGCCUGAUGCGUUUCAAUAUUUAAUUGGUGCUGAUCUUCAAAAAUGCACAUACUUAUGGUUGUGGUAUUACAAAGUUGUUUGAGUAAUGCCUUUUUUUUAUCUCAAAUUUACAUGCUUAGUCAUUCUGGAAUUUCUUUAAUUUUCUGUGUCAAAUAUUGCACCUGAAAUUUGAAAGGCCAAAUCAUUUACUAGCAAAUCAUAUUUAUGGAGAACAUUUUGAGAUCAUGCACGGACAGUUAUAUAUGUUUUUGAGUAACUUUUUCCAUUAAUAAAAUAGUAUAAGAAAAAAAAUAAAAAUAUUGUCAUUGUGCUUUUUGAGAUUCAUAAUAAGCAUGUACUUUUGGGCCGCGUUUGGCUAGAGAACUAAAUUUUGGAGAGCAAUUUUUGUUGUUCCCGAGAACAGGAGAUAUUCCGGUAUAAGCUAGAACAAGUUGUAAAUUACAUUUGGAUGUUAUUUGUUUGUUCCUAAAGAAUAUUCUUAAUAAUGUUUGGAUGUUUACAUUGGAAUAAAGUGUUGGAAAGAUAAAAAUUAAAUAAAAUAACAAAUUUGCCCUUGAAUGUAAUAAUCAAAUAUGAUUUAAUAAAUUAAGUAUUAAAAUAAAUUAAUUUACAAAUUAAGUAUAUUUGUAUAUUAUUUUGAAAAUAUUAAUUUAGUAGUAUUCAAUUUAAGUAUUUAUUUAUUUAUUUUCUAAACUAAUUUAAAAUAUAAAUAUUUAAAAUGGAAUAGCACUUAUUAAAUUAAAUUAAUUAUUCAAUCGAUUUCUUUUAAUUUACUAAAUUAAAUAUUAAUAAGUCAAAAUAAUGUGGCUCUUCUAAAAAAAAAAUUCAAAAAAAUUUCUAAACACACCCUGAUGAAGGGUUAAAGGACAAAAUGGUAAAGAAACAUAUCCCCCCAAAUUGUUCCCUCCAAUUCUCCCAUCUGGGGAGAACAAGCUUAACGGGUUGUUUUCGGAACAGCCCGUUAAACCCGAAACAGCAUAUCCCCCUCUCUUUUUUUUCUGUUUGGGUAUUGAUAGGGGGAUAUCCCGCCUUGUUCUGAAAUAUCCUUCCAACCAAACGCAGCCUUGGGGUUUGUUUGGUUGAGGAGGGGGAGGAUAAAAUACCCAAACACUAUUUUGAAAAAGGGAAAACAACGGUACUCUCUUUUUUUUUGGAACAAGCUAAUAUAAUCCUGAAUUGAUGUUCCACUUUUUUUUUCUGAAACAAGCUUGUUCCAAAGUGUGAACAAGCUUUUAAUUAAAGUCUAAAUUUAAUUUCAAUAAUGAUAUUAAAUUAUUAAUUAAUUUAAUUAAUAUAUUUAAAUUAUUAUCUAUUGCUUAAAUAAUAAAAUAAUUAGCUUAUUUAUUAUUUAUAGUUAAUUAGCUAAUAAAAAAUUAAUAAUUUAAUGUGUUUGUCCGUAAACUAAUAAUUAUAUUGAUCAAUCAUUAAUAUUUUGACUAAUCUAAUUAAUUUCUUUACUAAUUAUCUAACUAAAAUAAUUUACUACCUCAUUAAAAAAUUUAAUUAUUUUAUAUUAAUAAAUUAAUUAAUAUAUUUUAAUUAUCUUAUACAAUAUUGAUAGCAAAUAAAUUUAUAAAUUUAUUAAAUUAUUUUAAAUUAAUAUUUUGAUGCCAAUUAAUUAAAUAAAAUAUUUUUAAUUUAAAAUUAUAACUAUUAUUUCUAUUGUUCCAAUCUAACUAUUCAAACACUAUUUAUAUUAUUCUCAGGAAUAACUUAAUUUUUAUGCAAAUAAAAAAUUAAUCUAAUUUUUAUUUAUAUAUGAACUUACACCUUUCUCUGAAAUAAUCAGUUUUUAUAUAUAUCUGAGGCAAACGGAGCCUUGAGGUAUAAGUACGUACGCAAUAAUACAUAGACUUUUUUCUUUUCUUUUUUUUAUAGUUGCUGGUAUAGAGAGAGUUUUUUUUUUUUUUCCUACCUCAUUUUGACUUUUGAGUUAAGUUCCUUUUUCUUUUUCUAUCUCAUUUUUUGACUUUUGAGUUAUUUGCAAGUACUAUUGAUGUAUUCCUUCUCUAUUAAAUUUUGUGAAAUAAUUAUUAUUCUUUAAAAAAUUAUGCUAUCAGGUAGUGGUGUUACAUCCAGACUCGAGACUUUUUAAUAGACUUUGAUAGACCCAAGACAAUGGCUUGAAUUUAAUAGGAGAAAAUUAAUUAAAUGAAGCAAAGGGUCUAGCGACCGGGAACUCAAAUCAUCAAAUUCUGAUACUAUAUUAAAUUGUAAAAACAAAUCUUUGUUCUCCAAAAGUUUUUAGCUCUAUUCAAGAUCUUCCAUGAAUGUUUAAAUUAAUGUGAAAUAAGAUUUAAAAUUAAACAUGGAGGAGCAAUUAAAUUUAUAAGUUUAAAUAAUGUGAUAAUUAAAGCUUCCACAUUGGUUAGGCCAAAACGCAGUUGGUUUCUAUGCCUAAUAAAACUAAUUAGUAUCUUGUGACCGGUGUUGAGAUAUAUUUUGGCUGAGGAGAAACAUGAAAAUAAUGUACUUAAUAAUAAUGAUCAAUGUAAGGUGAUUCAUAUUGUAAAGUACAUAACUUUUAUUAAUUGUUUGCUCAACACAUGUAAAUCUUUUUGGUUGAGGCUCCGUGCAAAAUGCAUGAUGAGAACUAAAGAGAGGUGGAAAAAAAAGGAGAAUUGGUACAGCGUACAAAAUCCAGAAUCCUUUUUUUUUUUUUUCUUUUAAUUUCUUGGGUGACUUCGCCUUAAAAUUUCACAAUUGUAUUUUUUCCUAUGAACUAUGUGAGAUGCUUCUUUUUGGAGCUAAUUAUCGCUUGUAUCAUGAUGCUACGUACGAAUCGUGGCACAUGCAAUUUAAAAACGAACAAGUAUAUAUUAAUGCGUUAACUAUUCUCUAUACGUGAGUGAAAUAUUAAUAUACAUAUUGUGAGUGAAAUAAUGGUGUGAAUAUAGCAUUAGGCACUCAUCCAACUAAACGGUGCCUUAAUGGCCCUUUAAUUACUAUGGUCCCAAACUAACCUACUUAUCCAUUAAAAACCCUGGAAUAUAUAAGAUGCAACAUUUCGUGUGAGUAAAAACCCCGGGAAAAAAAAAGAAGAAAAAUAAAUGGGACGCGUGCGACGGUAGGGGUACCACCACCAUCCCGGUCCGAAUCUCAAAGCAGAGUGCAAGACCCUUUGCUCAGUUUAAAAUAUAGUCGUAAUCUAUCUCAUAUAUAUAUAUAUAUAUAUAUAUAUAUAUAUAUUACGCAGUAAAAUUAAUCCGAAAUGUAUUCUACAUGUCGUACAUAAUUGUUUUUGAAAGAACUUUCUUUUUUGCAUUUAAAGUUCUGAAGAGGUAUUAGUUAGUACACAUUGUGGGAGAAAUUAAAUUUGGUGAGGUAAUAUAAAUAUAAUAUUAUAUAUAUAGAGAGAGAGAGGAGAGAGAGAGACGAGGGAGAGAGAGAGAGAGAGAGAGAGAGAGAGAGGAGAGAGAGGUACAUGCAUGGCAUAUAUGAUAUUUGUACAUAACCUUGUGUCUGUGCAUGGGAGCACAAACCAAGGAAUCAAUUGUGGUACGGCCAUGAUUGCCAGAUGGGCAUGAGGGUAAAUGAAUUGCCUCUCGCACAAGUUUUCUUUAUUGCAUGAUUAGUUAUUGUUGUGCAUAAAUUCAGUGCAUAUUUGAUAUUUGUGUGUUAUAUAUUAUAUAUAUAUAAUAUAUUAUAUAUAAUAUAUAGAGCAGAGCUGAUGUGUCUUAGGAGCACGGAGGUCUCCGUGCUUUGAGUUGUAUUCGAUGAAGGAAUUUUGAAUACGAUAGGCUAUGUUAGACCUGAUCGCGCAUUUAAAGUUUCUAGAAAUAAUUUUUGCGAUUUUUUGAUAUCAUUUACUUAGUGAUCGAAAGGAUUCAAAUCCAUAAUUUUUAAUGGUUGAUAUCUGCAGUUUCAAAUUUACGUGUAGAGUAUUCAAAUCAGAUGAAAUUUUGAUACAAAUUCUUUAUACUAUCUACAACAAAAUCAAAUAUUUUCUGAAAAAAAUUUUAGUGCUAUAUCACCACUUUUUAUAGAAUUGUUUUUUUCAGCAGUUAAAAAUUAUUGAUUUUUGAAUCCUUUCGAUUGCGCAAGGUAAAUAUAUAUCGAAAAUCGCAAAAUUAUUUUCGUAGAACUAAAUAGCUAGAUCAAGUCUAGCGGAGCGAUUCAUCGAUUCGGAAAUUCAUCAUCGAAAACGAGCUCAGGAGCACAGAGCCUCAUUGCUCCUGGAGCACAAGCUGUCUAUAUAUAUAUAUAAAUAUAUAUAUAUAUAUUAUAUAAUAUAUAUAUAUAUAUAUAUAUAUAGUUGAGCUGGAAUGCUAUCAGGUAGAACUAGCUCGGUUGCACCAUUUGUUUUCGAUGAUGGUGUUUUUAAAUGACGAAUUGGCAUCGUUGAACAUGAUUUAUAUACUCUUGAAGUAUAUAAAAACAAAUUUUCAGAUCAUUUCGAAACCUAAUGAUCAGGUUUCAAUAUUUUUAUUUAAUGAUAAAUAUAUGGGUUUUUCUCGUUUAACGGUGUAAAACUAUCCAAAUUAAUUGAAUUUUGGUUAGAAAACUCUUUAAAAUAUUUAGAAUAAGAUCUUAUACUCUCGAUCUUGAUACAAAAUUUCUAUCAUCACUUUUAGAAGAUAAUAUAUUUUCAGCCGUUCAUUUUUAUCUGUCACUUGAUAGAUAAGAGAACAAUAUCGAAAAAACAUGAAAUUUGAUUUCUAUAACUUCAAGUGGUAUAGAUCAAUAUUCAACGGUUCAAUCAUCGAUUUGGAGACUCAUCUCGAAAAACAAUGGUUGACAACGGAGCUCGUUUGCUACCGAUAGUAUUCUACUAGCUAUAUAUAUAUAUAUAUUAUAUAUAUAUAUAUAUAUAUUAUAUAUUAUAUUAGUAUAUUGGAAAUUCAAAUCGCCUAGAAUCAAGUCUAGCGGAGCGAUUCAUCGAUUCGGAAAUUCCAUAUCGAAAACGGCUCAGGAGCACAGAGGCCUCCAUGCUCCUGAGAGCACAGCAGCCCUGUCAUAUAUAUAUAUAUAUAUAUAUAUAUAUAUAUAUAUAUAUAUAUAUAUAUAUAUAUAUAUAUAGUGAGCUGGAAUGCUAUCAGGUAGCAAACUAGCUCGGUUGCACCAUUUGUUUUCGAUGAUGGAGUUUUUAAAUGACGAAUUGGCAUCGUUGAACAUGAUUUAUAUCACUUGAAGUAUAUAAAAACAAAUUUUCAGAUCAUUUCGAACCUAAUGAUCAGGGGUUUCAAAAUUUUAAUUUUAAUGAUAAAUAUAUGGCGUUUUUCUCGUUUAACGGUGUAAAACUAUCCAAAUUAAUUGAAUUUUGGUUAGAAAACUCUUUAAACUAUUUAAAUAAGACUCUAUACUCUCGAUUCUUGAUUACAAAAUUUCUAUCAUCACCUUUUAGAAGAGUAUAAUUAAUUUUCAGCCGUUCAUUUUUAUGCUCACUUGAUAGAUAAGAGAACAAUAUCGAAAAAAUGAAGAAUAUAUUUCUUAGAUACUUCAAGUGGUAUAGAUCAUAUUCAACGGUUCCAUCAUCGAUUUGGAGACUCAUCAUCGAAAACAAAUGGUUGACAACGGAGCUCUUUGCUACCGAUAGUAUUCUUAGCUCAACUUAUAUAUAUAUAAUAUUAUAUAUAUAUAAUAUAUAUAUAUAUAUAUUAUAUAUAUAUAUAUAGAGUCCAGCUAUGGUGUUUGUAAAAGCACUAAGCACUUGGUGCUUGUAAGUUCUUUACCGUUAAAUCUACUCCUCGGAUCAUUUUCAACCAUUAGAUUAUAUUAUUCAACUAACUACCCACUCAACCCUAGGGGGCCCACAUCAUUCUAACCACAUAUCUCUUAAUCCAAUGGCUAAAAAUCUACAAGUACCAAUAACUUGAUACUUUUAAAAGCAUAGGAGCUCAAAUAUAUAUAUAUAUAUAUAUAUAUAGUUCGACUAUUGUACUCUUAUGAGUAUGAUCACUUUCGUAUUUAUAAUUAAGUCGUUUUCGAUGAUAAAACUUCUGAAUCGACGAUCCAUACUCUUAAAUAUAAUUUAGUGCAUUUAAAACUUCUAGAAAUUAAAUUUUAUAAUUUUUUUGAAAUUAUUUAUCUUACUAUCAAAAGAUCUUAAAAUUGACAAAUUUUAACAGUUGGUAUGAGCUAUUUGCUAGUUUCAUACUCUAAAAGAAUCAAAAUUGGUUGAAUUUUUGAUAUAAAAUUUUGUUCACUAUCUAGAUAAAGAUGAAUAUUUUCGAUCUUAAAUUAAGAGAUCCGAUCAUCCAUUUUUAGGACGUCAUUCGAUUUUAACCAUUCAUUUUAUAUCCGCUUAAUGGACUCUAUUAUGAUUUCGAAAAAUUACGAAAUUUAUUUUCUAGAAGUUUCAAAUGCUUUAGAUCAUAUUUAAUGGUGUGGAUCAUCGAUUCGGAAGCUCCAUUAUCGAAAACAACUUCUGAGUACGAAAGGCUCUAUACUCAUAAGAGUAUAGUAGCCUCUCUCUCUCUCUCUCUCUCUCUCUCUCUCUCUCUCUCUCUCUCUAUAUAUAUAUAUAUAUAUAUAUAUAUAUAUAUAUAUAUAUAUGGAAUUGGAACUGAGUGGGUGGUUGAUUGAAUAGUAUGAUCUAAAUGGUGGAAUUGAUUAAAGUGUAAAUCUAACGGUUAAAAAAUCGAUAGCAAAAAAACUCAAAUACUAUUAAUAUAGUAUUAUAGCUCAACUCUAUAUAUAUGUGUGCGCGUGCAUAUAUGAGAUGGCUAGAAUAUGCUGUUAAUUGCAGCAUGCAUGCUAUCAACUUUUUAAUCCUUAGAUGCUUAAAAUUUACUAUUUGGCGGUGGUAUUGUUAUGGAUUCAAAUUCUAAAAAGUUGAUAUAUAGCAUGUGAUAUCAAUAGCGUUCUAGCUCCGCUCGUGUAUAGAUGCCUAAAGUAACCAAUAUUAGAAAAGGCAUAUGAACGCUUAAUUUAUUUUGUUUUAAUCAAUUAUCAAGCUCUAGUUUUUCAUUAGUUUUUAGAAUUGUCAGUAGCACACAUGACUUUACACUGAAUCAUGCUUAGAUUCAACAUAUAAACUGCAAAAUCUUGAACCACUCUCUCCACCUUCAAAUAAAAAGAAAAGAAAAGAAAAGCAAAAAAACUAUAAAAACAUAUAAUAAACAACAGCAAUUAAUACAUGAUAACUAUGAUAAUAAAGGAUAGGGAGGGGGAGAUGUAUGGGAGGGGGAAUGGGAUAAGAUGGUCCUCUACUAUUACUUGACCUCAAUCAGGAGCCGUGGAUCCCACUGUAAUUACUCAAUCCCCAUCCUUUUCCCCCACCAUUUAUACAAGAAAACAAAAAAAAUUAUAGAAAAAAUCCAAAAGCCCUGUUCAUUGCAAAAAUUAAUUACCUCUCAUGCCUAAGCUAGCUAACACUACACUAAUCCUAUUGAGAUUUACUAAGUAAAAAAAAAAAAAGAAUAAUAUUUAAGUGCAAAAAUUAAUCGCAAACACGUACUCGUAGUUUAAAAUAUGAGCAAACAAAUGUCUCCUUUUACGAGAUCUAUCACUUCCUCUUUUUUUCCCCACAUUAUAGUACAUAAAUCCUAAUUUAAUUGGAAAUUACUCGCUGUUCAACAUAAGUAAAUCGAAGUUUGAUAAUGAAGAUUAUUUCAAGCUAUUAGAUAAUUAAAAUAACAUUAAUUGUCCGAGAAGCAUAGUAUGAAUAUAUUUUUAUAUUUUCAUAUGGAAUUACAUACAGUACAAUAUAUCUGCACACGGUAAUGUUACUGUAUAUCAUAAUGACGUACGGGAACGUAAUUUUUAUGUAAAUUUGGACAUUUUUUUUUAAUUUUUGGAGUUAUUUAAUUGGGUCACUCCCUAGUUGUUAUAGUUAUGUUAUAAUCGAAUUAUUACAAGGUCACAUCAAUCAUUAUCAUCUCGGGGCGAUCGUGGAUCACGCAGGUUGGAUCGCGUGCCACCUGGACCGUAGAUUCUCCCAAGAUGUGUAUCCGCAUCUGAGAGACCGACACGUGGAUCCCUCUCACUGCGGGGCCCGCAUGUCAGCCUCACAUAUACUUUCUCAUUAAAAAAUUAUUUAUAUCCAGGUAAAUAAUUUUGAUUUGGCUUUUGCUUCGUAUGCCAUAUGAUUUUUGUAAAAAAAAGAGUAAAAAAAUUAAUUGACAUAUUACCUGAAAAUAUAUUUUGCAAAAUAUCUAAUUAGUAAAUUAAAGCUAUCUAGUUAAAAAAAAAAUUAAAAGGGAUGUUAAUAAAUAAAAAGUGUAUAUAUAUAGUAUAAUAUAAAGUGUGCUAGGAUAUUAUGGAUAGCACCGGAGGGCUCCUUGUUUUGCACUCCCUGUUUUUCGAUGUUCGGACUUUCGAAAUCGAUCGGCUCUCGUUAGACUUGAUCCUAGAGUAUUUGAAGUAUCUAGAAAAUAAUUUUGCGAAUUUUUUUUUUUUUUAGAUAUCAUUUGCCUAGUGAUAUCGAAGUGGCGUCUCAAAAUCAACGGCUAAAUAGAUAAAAUCUUACAAAAUAUGAUGAUUAUGAUAUUAUAAAUUUAGAUCAAAGUUAUUGAUCUUGUUUAUAUGAUAAAAAAUUUUCCAAAUCAAGAAUUUUCCAUAUGAUUUGGAUAUUUCUGCAACGUUAACUGCAACCGGCCUCCACCCACGGUCCUUGAAAAUUAUUGAUUUUUGAGCCCUUCGAUACUAGGCAAAUGAUAUUGAAAAAUUACAAAAUUUAUUUUCUAGGUACUUUCAAAUACUCCUAGAUCAAUUCUAACCGGAGGCCGAUCGUCGAUUCGAAAAGUCCGACACAUCGAAAAACAUUAAGUAGAAAACAAUGAGCCCAAUCCGUAUAUCCAUAAGGCCAUCCUAGCCACACUUUAAUAGUAUAUACUAUAUAUAUAUAUUUUAUAUUAUAUAUAUAUAUAUAUAUAUAUAUAUAUAUAUAUAUAAAGUUAAAUGGGCGAUUUCAAAACGGCCUAUGAUUGAGGGAGUUGUCACGUAUUUGCACUCUCUUUCUUAACUGGCCAUGUACUAUAUUUAUUAGCUCAAAAGAUGCUAAGUUAAGCUAUCAAUUAAGCCUAUAAUAGAGUACGAAGAUAAAUAAACAACAAUUAAGCAAUUAAAUAAACGAUCUUUACACAAAGGGCUUUUUGAGGGGCGUUAAUUAAUUAACUAAUUAAUCAGUUAAUAAUGCGGCAUUAGCCGCUUAUUACCUGUCACGGCGUGAGAUUUUUUUUCUUCUUUUUUCCUUCCCCUUUUUAAUUUUUUACUUUUUAUUAUUUAUUUAUUUAUUUAUUUUCGUGGCUGUGUGUGGGAUCCGCGAUAAACGCCCGGCACGUUCACGACGUCUUUCACUCUCCCCCGUGGGCCCCACCUUACAGCUGUUUUAAUGUGCUCUUGUCCCCCCUUCCCAACCGCUUUUCAUUUUCCUUUUUUUUUUAUUUUUUUUUAUUUACCAUUUUAUUUUUUUUAUUUUUAAUUAAGAUAUAUUGCAUAUGGAUUGCCUCCUCCUCUACUAUUUUGAUAUCGCGACUUAGUUCCUAUCUUUUACCUAAAACAAUUUGAACACUAUUUGAAAACAAAAGUAUCAUAUGUGUCAGAUACGUGUCCAAUAUGGAUACUUCUGGAAUACACGUUUAACGUCGAUUAAUAGUACAUAUAAUUAAAAAAAUUAUACAUAUACUUUUUUUAUAUAAUAAAAUGUAAAAUGAAAUAUAUUUUACUUUUUUUUUGAUGAAUGCAUAGAAAUUUUUUUUGACAGUAUACAUAAAUUAUAUACAGUGCAGAACUUUUUUUCUUAAAAUAUAUGAAUUAUUAAUAAAAAUUUUAUUAAAUUUCAUUUGUAAGAGAAAUAUAAAAAUAUUUUAUCAAAGCUAAUAUUUUAUAUAUAAUAAAUAUAUAUUACUAUACUAAUAAUAUUAUAUUUUAUUAGUAAUAUCCAUAUUCUGUUCGUAUUCUAAUUUUUUGAAAGCUACCAUGUCGCCAUAUCCGAGUUUUGUCGUGUUUCGUAUUCCGUGUCAGUGUUCGUAACGUCUAGAACGUUACAGAGAUUUCAAUAAUUUGAAAUAGAUCAACGGUUUUUAGUCUAUAUAUAAAUGUUGUUUGUACGUAAUUUUUGAUCGAUUAAAAAAAAAAUCUAAUUCUUGUAGUAAAAUAACUAUUUAAAAUAAACUAACCAGCUAUUUCAUAAAAAUUAGACUCUUUUGUGGUUAAUGAAAAUUAGAAUGUAAUGUUUAAAGACUAAAAUAUUAAUAAGUAGAAAACUAGAGGGAACAAAUUACAAUAAUAUGGGAAAGUAAGAAGUAUUCAUACAUUUUACAUUUAUUUUACUCUUUAUUUUAAUUUUUUUUUGUUGUUUUACUUUUAUUAUUAAUUAUUAAUAUUAUUAUUAUUAUUUCUUUUUCCACCUGCAACUACCGUUGUUUACUCGAGCCCACAUCGUAAGAUUCCAUCACAACCGUCCAUUUUUUAUGGGCCCGAACGGUUCAUCAAAAUAUCCAUCCUUAAUUAACGAAGGUCCACUCUACACAUACAUAUAUUAUUAUCUUAUUAAUUUACCUAUUAAUUAGCUGUUUAUAAAUUAGCUAGGAUUACCUCAUCCUGUGUCCUAAUUUAUUAGUUCUUCUCUUAAAAUAUUCUCUAAUUACUAUUCAAUCAUCUAUUUUUCCACUUAAAAAAUAUCGCCCUCAAAAGUUCAUUUACAUCCAAUUUUAGCCCAAAUAAAUUAUGUUACUUCAAAGAACAAGUCGUCUAAUAUUAUAUCGAUUUUUCAAUAUUAUGGUAUCACAGCAGAGAAAGUGCGAAAUUAUUUCCGAAUUAUUUUUUUUAUCGAUUGUAUCCAUAUUUUAUUUUUUUUGAGAGAAAUAUAAUAUGCUAUAUAUACUUUUCGUUUAUUUUUUUAGAAAAAUAAAUUUAGCUGAAAACGUAAAGUAAUUACGCUUCGAACUUGAAAUCUUGUGUACCAACCGUUAAAUCCUUUACUAUUUGUGUUAGAAAUAAUCGGUGAUAUUUUAUUUAUUAGUAUAAAAAUUAGGUGCUUUCAUAAUUAACUCUAGGUCUUGCAAUUCAAUCUCAUCCAGUAAAUUGGCGGGAUGUAGGAUAUACAUCCGUAAUAGGGUGUAUCUGUAGAAAAUAUUUUUUUACAUCCCAAAAGGGCUGUACAUCUUACAUCCGCAAUCAUAUGGUCGAUAAAAAUCUAAUUAGUUUUUAAUAAAAUUUUAUUUUAUUUUAUUUUAGAGAUAGGUAGCACACCACCCACUUUAUUUAUUUCAUUUAGAAAUAAACUUGGCUGAAAAUGUGAAUCAACUAGAAUUUGAACUCGGAUUUCGGAUAACAACCAUCAAGUCGUUUAUUACUUGCUCUAGGGCGGUACGAAUGAUUUUAGAAUAAAGUGAAUGUAAAAAAUAUAUUCUACUAGUUGCUCUAUUGUAUUUAUUUAUUUAUUUAUUUAUUUAUCUCUCUCUCAACCCUUUAGUUUGAACUUAUUAUUAGAGCAGCAAAGUAAGCACCCCUGACAGCGCAGCAUCUUGUUUGUUUUAUCACUUCUCAUCUCUUCUCUCUCUCUCUAUCUCUCUCUCUCACAUCAUCGCUAUCAUCAUCAUCAUCAUCCUCCGUAGCCCUCUCUCUCUCUCUCUCCAUUCCUCAUCAUCUACUGUUCAUCUCUAUCUCUCUCUCUCUCUUGCUUUCACCUUCUUCUUCUUCUUCUUCCUCAACCCACCUGUAAUAUUCUUUUUCAACCCCAUAAUUUAUACGAACACUCGAAAAAGAUAGUAGGAUGAAUUCUUAAGCCAUUAGCCAGCGCUGCUCACGCUUAACCCUUCCCUCCACCACCCCUUUUCUCUGCUCGCUCGCUCUCUAAAUCUCUCGCUUUUUCUUUUCUUUUUUUUUUUCCUUUUUUUGCUUCUUCUCUUGUUUGCGCUAGCGCUCUUUCCAGUUGUCCAUGCGCCGCCCAUCUUUUUCACCCGAGCCCCUUCUUCGUCUACUCCUUUCCCUUUCCGAUUUCGGAUUCUUCCAUUAAUCCUCUCAUAUUAAUCACUAGGAUACUAGUAGUUGUCACGGGCGAUAAAAAAUAGUUGCGGGAAAGAGAAAGUAGCGGGAGAGAGGGUGAGACAAAGCGUCGUACCAACACAUGCAGCAGCAGCAGCAGCAGCCGCAGCAGCAGCAGCAGCGAGGAGGGUCGCAACAAUAUGGGGGGCCGCCGCCGCAUCCGGAAUUGACCCCAUUCCCCUCCCGCAUGCUCGGAAUUGCCGACCCCCCGCCGCAGACCGUGCUGCAGGCGCAAUUGGCGGAGGCGGCGUCGCCCAUCAGUAGCCGGCCGCCGCAGCCGCCGCCGCCGCCGAGCUUCGAGGAGCUGAUCCCUUCGUCCGUCGCCGACGAAGAGGCCCUGGCGGCGGGGGAGGACGGCGAGCGCGGAGGCGGCGGGGCUUCGGGCGGCAACCGGUGGCCGCGGCAGGAGACGCUGGCCCUCCUCAAGAUCCGCUCCGACAUGGACGCCGCCUUCCGCGACGCCACCCUCAAGGGCCCCCUCUGGGACGAAGUCUCCAGGUUUAAUAAAUUUAUGCCUAAUUUAAAAUAAAUAAAUAAUAAAAAAAAUUUAAUUUCAAUUGCACAUGAAAUAAAACUUAAAAUGUUUGGAGUCCCUUUCUUUUUUUUUUUCUUUUUUUUUUCUUUUUUUUUUGGGUUUGGACGGUGAACUCGGAGAUGGUGGAUUCGUACCACGGAGAGCCCAUUUGUUCUAGUGCUAGUGCUAACGUAGCAGCUUUGCAGUUUUUUUUUUUCUUCUCCCAAGCCACAACAGAUCACUUCUCUCUCUCUCUCUCUCUCUCUCUCUUUCUGUCUUUCUCUUUGUAGUACCAGCUGACACUGAAUUUGAUGAGACUGAGCAGCUUCAGAUCUGCUGCAUCAAUCCCAACCAAUCUCUCAUCACUCUUUUCUAAAUCCGUUGCAGGCGUUUUCGUAAAAAGAUACCAUCGAGACAAGUGCGCCUGAUUUAAUAUGUUUAGUUUAAAUUCUUCACCUUUUUCUUUUCUGGGCUACAAUUCUAUUUUCUCUUUCUAUAAAGCUAAGGGGGGGGGGGGAGGGGUGAGGUAAGGUGAGCGAGGGGAGGGACUAUAAUUAUUUUAUUACCUCGAUUUAGAUGAGAUGCUGUUUGUAUGGAUGUGGAUGUAAUCAUAAUCAUGAUGACCCCCUCUCAUUUCCUUACUAUUGUUAUUUUUUAAUUGAUUAUUUCGUGGUGGCGGUGCUUGGUGUGUGUUGUAGGAAACUGGGGGAAUUGGGAUACAAGAGGAGUGCGAAGAAGUGCAAGGAGAAGUUUCGAGAACGUUCAGAAGUACUACAAGCGCACGAAAGAAGGCGCCGCGGGCCGGCAGGACGGCAAGACGUACCGCUUCUUCACGCAGCUCGAAGCCCUCCACCGCAGCGCGGUGCCACCGCCGCCGCCUCCACGCCGUCCUCGAUCGCAUUCGCCGCCCCCAUGUCCGGCCCUCCCCGCCCGCGGAUCCACCCGAUUCCGAUCUCCUCCGCCGCCCCGCCGCCCAUCCCCGAACAAUCAAUUCACGGAAUUCCCGCCGCCUCUGCCGCCCCUCCCGCUGCAGCCGCGGCGGCUGCAGCUGCUGCUGUAGCUGGAUUUAGCUUCUCGUCGAAACACUUCCUCGUCGGAUUCGGGCGAAUCCGACGACGAGACGGAGGAGGAGGAGAGCAGGAGCAGCAGCAGCAGCAGCAGCAUGUAGCUGCAAGGGAGGAAGCGGAAGCGGCGCGGCAGCAUGGGGAGGAGCGGCAAGAAGAUGAUGGCGUUCUUCGAGGGGCUGAUGGGGCAGGUGAUGGAGCGGCAGGAGGAGAUGCAGAAGCGCUUCCUGGAGACGCUGGAGAAGCGGGAGCAGGACCGGGCGAUGCGCGAGGAGGCGUGGCGGCGGCAGGAGACCGCGCGGCUCGCCCGCGAGCAGGAGCUCCUCGCGCAGGAGCGCGCCAUGGCCACCACCCGCGCCGCCGCAGUCGUCUCCUUCAUUCAGAAGAUCAGCGGCCAAACCAUACAAUUACCCGCAAUGCCCGACGCCUCCAUCACCGUCGUAACGCCGUCGCCAGCCCCGCCGCCACAGCCGCCGCCGCCGCCGCCUCAAAAGCCGCCAUUAUCGACGCCGCUGCCGCAAAAGGAGAAAAGUGGGGAAAAUGUAGGGCUCAAGGAAUCAGCUUCGACCGACAUUGUAGUAUUCGGGGCUCAAGGAGGAGGGCUGCAGGAUCCCGCGAGUAACGUCGCGUUCGAGGCCGCGGGGCCGCCGUCGUCGCGGUGGCCUAAGACGGAGGUGCACGCGCUGAUCAAGCUCCGGACGGGGCUGGAUAUGCAGUACCAGGAGAUGGGACCCAAGGGCCCGCUGUGGGAGGAGAUCUCGGGGAGGAUGCGGCGGCUGGGAUACAACCGGAGCGCCAAGCGGUGCAAGGAGAAGUGGGAGAACAUCAACAAGUACUUCAAGAAGGUGAAGGAGAGCAACAAGAAGCGCCCCGAGGACGCCAAAACUUGCCCCUACUUCCACCAAUUAGACGCUCUCUACCGCAGGAAGCUCGACCGCGCCAGCGGCGGCGGUGACGCGGGCGUCCCACGGCAGCAGCAGCAGCAGCAGGCGCCGCCUCAGCAAUUGGAAACCAACACCAAUGCCCCAAGUUCACAAGAAGGAGCCGAUGCUCUCACGCUCAUGGCAGCAGCGUCGUCGUCGUCGCAUCAGCCUCCGUCGGAAACCGACACCAAAAACAACGGCAAUAGAAGCGGCGGAGGUGUACAAACGAGCAACGGAGGACUAGCGCCGGUCCUCGCCACGAACAAAGUGAGUAGCCAAACUUCUAGCUCGAUCAAUCCUUGCCGACUCCUAUCUACUAAGUAUUCAAAUUGUAAUGAAAUGGAUUGAACUGAAGCCAGGAGACGCCGUGACGGGCGAAGGCGAGAAGAUCGACGAGGGCGGCAGCGACAAUAUGGACCACGACUACGACGACGACGACGACGACGACGACGAGGAGCGAGGGGGAGGAAGGACGAAGAAGAGUCGGCGUUCACCCCCCGCCCCUUGUAUCCUCAUCUCUCUCUCUCUCUCUCUCGAUAGUCGACACGACGCUUGUGGGAUUCAUAGGGAUGAUGGAGUCGCGGGAGGUGCCGCGUCCCAAAGUUCCCUCCUUGGACCAAACCGAUAUCAACUGGGACAAGUAUGUCAUUAUCUCCUUUCUAGGGCUUCUUCUCGUUUUCCUCCUCUUCCUUCAAUUUCAUACCUCUCUCUCUCUCUCUCUCUCUCUCUCUCUCUCUCUCUCUCUCUCUCUAUCUUUGCNNNNNNNNNNNNUUUUUUUUUUUUUUUUUUUUUUUUUUUGGGAAGCUAUUUUUAGUGGAGUCAAAUGGAGUAGUGGUGUUACGGUGUUUAUUUAUUGAUUUGUUGUGGAAUAAGCAUCCUCUUCGGGGAACGAAGGGGAUUAAAAUGGUGAAUUUAAAGCAGGUAAUAAGAUCGCGGAGAUAAGAGGCAUUUGAGGUUGUGAAAAAAAAAAAGAAAAAGAAAAAAAAAGAACAUUAAUCGGGGUUAUAAUGGGUUACAAUUAUUUACGAAUCGAGGAAUAGAUAAGGUGGUGGAGGGAAUUGGCGUUUUUUAUUUUUUAUUUUUUAUUUUUAUUUUUAUAUUUUUGAUGUCUCCUCCUCUAUUUUUAUAUAUACUGUACAUCUUAUUAUCUACAUUGUUUGUUUCUCUGUGUUUGUACCUUAUCUCUCUGUUGUAUGUGACUGCGGAUAUGAAUUAAUCUAGUGAAUUUGAGCAACCCGCAUACCAAAUUAAAUAUCAGCUCAAUGGUUUUGUUUUUUUGUUUUUUUGGUUCAUUUAUGUUGAUGCAUGUUGUUUUGUGAUAGGGAUGAAAAUUCGUUAGAUAAGCAUUGGAUAGUCCUAAUCCAUAUUCAUAUCUAUAUUUUUAUACAGGAUUUGGAUCCGAAUUCGGAUAAUUCGAAUCCGAAGCCGAAAAAAUUUCUAACUAAAUAUUCGAGUCAGAGUCGGAUAGUAAAAUCCAACUUCAUGUCAGAUAAUUUUUCAGAUUCGGAGUCGAAUGUGAUUCAUUUGGUUAUCGUACAGUUGCUAUUUAAGUGUUAGUCCUAUUGAGAUAUUCAUUAACAAGUUCGGAUUGAAUUCUGGUUAAAUUCAACCCAGUUGACUACUUGACUCAGUAUACUAAAUCCAUUAGAUUUGAGCAAUGUUCCAUGUUUUGAAAUCGAGAUAGCGAUUCCAUAGAGCUUAAAAGUGAUGCCAACAAAAUAUAAGAAAAUGCGCUGCAUCAAUGAUCCAAGUAUUGUUUAACCUUAAUUAGAUUAAUCUAAGAUCAAAAUUAAUAAAUAGUUAGAAAGUUAGAAACACAAUAACUGUUGUAUUCCUAAUAGCACUGUAGCCCUACUCUCUUUAUAUAUAUAUAGUUUGACUAUUAUAUUUUUAUGAGUAUUGGCUCUCUUAUACUCAUAAGUUUUCGAUCCUUAGAUAUAUAUAUAUAUAUAUAUACAUAUAUAUGAUAAGAAUUUGGAAACAGAUUUGAGUAUAAUAUAUGUAUGAAAAAUUGGAUUCUAUGAUCGAACGUAGAGGUUGCAGAGGCCACUUUAUGCUGUUGAUAUCCUCUCCAACUCAUUCUCCUUUGUUUUCUCUCUCUCUCUCUCUCUCUCUCCCUGGUCACUAGUAACGUUCUUUGAUCUUUUACGUAUGAAAAGAAGAGAUUUGUAAAAAAGAUGAAAACAAACACCCACGCCAUUAAUGAAUCCCCCCCAAAGAGCAAUCUUUUCAUUUCUUAAAUUGCCCUUUCUUUUAGCUUUUGUCGCAGUUCUUAGCUGGUCUACUAGUAGGUAGUGUGUGUGUGUGUUUUUUUUUUUUUUAAAACCAGUUUCACCUUUUCUUUGAGUUGAGUUGUGGCACCAUUUUUGGGACUCAGGAAUUGAUUAUGAAAGUUCAUGGUUAGAGCUCAGGAGAAAGAGAUAGAGGAAGAGCAUUGAGCGACAGAAAAUUUAACAUUUCUUUUUCUCACUCACCGAACGCAGUUGCUUGUUAAGGUUACCAGGUCCAAUUGUAUCUGGUUCGGGUCUCGAUCGGACGAUCCGAACCCCCAAUAACAAUAGGUGCUAAAUAUUCAUCCAAAAUGUCAAGAUCCGGCCUAGAUUGUGCGCGGCUUCGGAACGAGUUGCCAAACUGGGCUUGGGUGUGACAAAACUGGGCAAAAAUAGAAAACCAAAUUGCUGAGCAGAUCCAGGAAAAGAUGUUUAUUAAGGUUUAAAGUGCAUAAUAAUAAUAAUAAUAAUAAUAAUAACGGUAAUCACGCAAUAGUGCUGGUAAAGUGAUAAAGAUGCCAUUUUGCGGAAGGGUGAGGAAGGGGUAUUUUGGGGUGAAGCAGAAAAGCAGAGUCCGGGUGACAAACUGUAAGAAACUGGGCGGCAGGCAGCAUGUGCGGGCAGACUUCACAUUUCACGAGGAGGGUGAGGCGUGGUGAAACGGGAAGACUGCCCCGGUAAAGAGAGAAUAAAGACGCGGGAGUGCGCAGAAAGUUCCGCACCUGGUGUACGAGCCUUUGAAUCCACAGAACUUAAAUUAAAUUACUGAUGAAACUCAAUCAACCUAAGUACUGAUCAUACUCAAUCGCCACUGUGAUUAGACGAGAAAUGAACAAUAUUUUGCAUCCAAAAAUAUAAUCUUUUUGUAAUUUGAAAUCUCGAAUACCAAUCAUCAUUCAAAUUAAAACUUUGGAAGGAUUAACAAAACUUGAAAAAUGAUGGAACGCAGUAUCACUCGAUUAGAGGAGAAAUGAGCAGCAGUUACUUUGCUUUCCGAAAAUAUUUGUCUCGUUGCCUGCAUUGAAGUGAAAGAAACCAGAAGCAACUUUCAAACACUGGUUAAUUUAGAAAAAUAACACUCCAAACUGUCCUCUGCUGCAAAAUGCCCAAACCUUGUGGGCUCCAGUAUAAAAAAAAAAAAAAACAGUGGCAUGUGAAAUUGGCUUUUACCAUGCAGCAGCAGAACAAUACUUUAUGUACAUCUUAAAAAAAAAAAAAAAAAAUGCAACUUCUAUAUCCUUCGAUCAUUCCAAGAUUUUGAAAAAAUGACCACAGAUAAGGACACGAUUUACACCAUUUUUUGAACGUACAAAUAGUAUUAUUUUCAUUUAGCGCCCAAAGUAAAGCAUUUUAAAUAAAGAAGUGGGUUUUUCCACUUUUCAACAUGUGACAGGGGAUGCUUUGAGAGGGAGUCAUUGUCAUAAGCCAUGCAUGCUUCACAAUGUCAUGGGGCUGUGACAGUGAUAAAAGUAAACCCACAAACUAGAUAAGAUGAAUGAUAAGUCCUCUUUUGUUAUUUGCAAGUAGAAGAGAACUUCAGUCCACCCAUUACCAAAUAAGGGAAGAUUCUUACCAACCAAACUUUGGCAAUAUAUUCAUUUCCAGAUGGAUGUGUGCUAAAUAAAAAGAUGGGCAAAAGCACCCACUUGCUGAGAGCAGCAGAUGUGAUAAUAAUUGUUUUAUUUAUGGAUAUGAAUGCUUCCAAACAUAAAUUUGAUUACAGUAACAUUUAAUUGCUCUCUGUCCAAUGAAGAACUAAUGUUUUAAUAUCUUAUGGGAGAAGGAAGCACAUGGUGCCCAGUAUUAACAGGAAAAAUGUGAACAGAAAACAACUGCAGGCAUCUAGCUCCUUCGGGAUUCUAACAGGAUAAGCAGCAAAAUUCCAAUUUGUUAUAGAGUCACUGCAAUAUAUCAUCAUGUAGAGAGUUGUUUAAACAUAGAUGUGGCAAAUUAUGAUUGCUCACUUACAUGGGAUAUAUCACUGGAACAUUUUCAUAAUAAUAGCUAUGGAUAGACAAUUAGAAUCCAUAACUUUCUCUAGCUAAAAUCAACAUAAGCAGUGAUUCAGCUAAACUGUCGAUUUAAGAAUGUAGAAGAUAAACAAAAGAAACAUAAAAGGAGAAAGGAAAUUAAAGCUACAAAACUUCUUGCAAAAUCGAUUCUAGCUGUGCGAAUGAUAAAUUCGAUGGUAACUACUCAUUGAUGUUUGAACCCUAAUACUAAUAUUACCUGAAAGAGCCAUUAGCCAGAAAGUAGAUUACGACAUUGGUCAAAAGCAUAUAGAAUGCGGCACUCAAAUCAUAGGAGGGCGAAUACGACGGUAUGCACAAAGCAUUUCGGCCUCUUCAAUUCAAUAGGCUUUGAUAGCAUGCGGAUGUUAUGAGUGAGAGGAAAGACGAAUAGGUAAUGAAUCAUAAUAUAGCAGAGAGAAGAUAACAAUGGAGAAACAGAAGAUAUCUUGCUUGCAGCUUCAGUGAAUCUUCGAGACGAAGAGGACGGAUGUUUAUCUAAGACUUCACUCUUCUAGGUUUAUUGGUUCCAUACGAUAUUCAGAAGAACAGAUUAGACAGGUUAACAGGCGAUUUUCAUGAGAAAAUUUGCUGGAAAGAAAACUGCCUGAAAAAUGCUGUAAAAAAGAGGAAGUAUCGCAAACUCGGCACAGAGAAAAAGGAAAAGGAUAAUACGAACAAGAUAAGCAUGAAAUGAAUCAGAGUUCUAACAAAAGUAAGAAUGGAAAGUAAAGAUUAUUCGUUAAGCUCGACAUCUAAGAAAAAACUAAAACAUCUUCGUUUUCACCAGCAAAGGACGCAUAAUAAUUGAGCACGCCUUUUCCACCGGCGAUCAGCAAUCCGCCAGGAUUAGAAACAGCCCUUCUCAUAGACCACUAUGAUCGACCAUAUUAACAAAGACAAAAGCUGAAAUCAUACGACUGCCAAGACUUAUUACUUCAGUGGCCAUAGAUGCAUUUCCCAUACUAUGAAUCAGUGUUAAACAUGACGCAGAGCUGGUCAGUCACCCGAACAAAUCAAUCUACUAUUAAAACCCUUACGAUGAGUUCAGAUAAUCUUUCUACGUUACCCAGCAUUACGGAAAUGAAAGACUACUAUUGUGUUCAGUCUGCAAGUUGUCCUCUCUCCCUCUCCCUCCUAAAAGGAGGCAUUCCCAACCAGAGCACCAAGAAGACAGUCACGCCAUCCAGAAUAGGAAUUUGGAGCAUUCUCGUAAUGUUGCAAACCGAUGAAUCAAUCGCGUCCUUAGUGCAUUGUUUUGCCUUAAGCAAGAACACGUCGGUUCGCAACAUCCAAACAACAAGCCCGAACUACUGAUUUUCCCGGAUAGCAGAAGGAUCUGUUCUCUGCUGAUUAUAAACGGCUUACUGUUUCCUGCAAAUGCAGCAUUCAAAAUAUGAUAUUUACGGAUGCGUCGUAAAAUAUACCCCCGAUUCACAUCAUUCCCAAUCAUCUUAUUUUAUAGCACCAUGAGAAUAAAACACUAUCAUAUGACACCAAACGAAACUAGAGGUUUACACUAAUUCGCGGCCCGUGCGAGAGAUCAACAACAGAGCAAGCAGGAAGAAUAGAAUGGCAAUUCUCGCAAAUAAUACCGAAAAUCAUUCUGAACAGCAGAAAAUCGACAUUGCUAUCAUCGCAUAGAAUGGCUAUCGCCUAUAAUAAUAAUAAUAAUAACGAUGAUGAAAUGAGGAUUGCUAAUUAUCAAAAUUACCGAGAAUGCGAAGAACCUAAAAUCUCCUAUAUCAGGAUAACAGAGGCAAACGAUCAAACAGCUGGCGCCGCAGCCACGGCAGCGGGGGCCUCAGCCGCGAUCCCCGUCGCCUUCUUCUUCUGAUCCUCUUUGGCGGCGGCGGCGGCGGCGGCGAGGGGAUUCGCCUUCGCCUUCGCCUUGUCCUUGUCCUUGUCCUUGUUGAGCUCCUCCAGCUCGUUGAGCCAGAGGUCGGCGAACUCGCAGUCCUUGUAGGCGUGGAACCAGGGGCCGCCGGAGGUGUAGUGGAUGGCGCGGGGGCGGGUGGCGGGGUCGAGGGGGUCGACGCGGUUGUGGCCGACGAGGAAGUUCCAGGCGAAGGGGAUGUCGCCGAUGUCGGCGUCGUCGAGCCACAUGAAGCGGUGGAGGAAGGCGCCGGUCUGGGAGCUGACGGCGUCGGGGGUGAGGGCGGCGGCGUUCUUGGGGUGGGCGCAGUUGUAGAGCACCAUGGACGACCAGUUCUUGCGCGGGUACACGGUCUGGACGGCGCCGUCCAUCUUGGUGGGCUGGGAGGGGGCGUAGUCGUGCUUGACGCACAUCACGGCGAAGCGGGGGUCGGCGAGGGCGAGGAGCUCCGCGACGUCGCCGAGGAAGAGGAAGUCGCAGUCGACGAACAUGGCCCAGCCGCGGAAGCCGGCGAGGAAGGGGGUGAGGAAGCGCGUGAACGAGAACUCCGUGCUCUCCGUCGGCCCGCGCACGCGCCAGUACAGCCCCGCCGUGCGCAGAUCCGCCUGCCGGAUGGCGCGGAUCGACAGCGGCACCGACGACCGCUUCACCAGCGACCGCCGGCACACCUCGAACGCCACGUCCUCCCUCGGGUCGUACCCGACGAAGAUCCGGAACGGCUCCGGCGAUCCCUCCGCCGCCUCGCCGGACAACAUCUAGGGCAGGCAGGGCUUCGAAGAUGAACCUAGAUUCGGGUUUCGAAUUCGAUGGAGGGCACGGGGAUUGCGUGAGAGGGGAGGAGGAAACGUCGGUUGUAUAUAUAUAUAUAUAGGUGCUUUGAGAGAGAAACCCGGAGCCUAUUCUUUCUGUUGGAUUAUUUGCCGUUAUUAGUAUUAGUUUUAUUAUUAUUAUUUAUUAAUUCAAGGUGUUAAGCAUAACAACCACUGGUUUUUAAAGGGCUCCUGUGUCCCGUCAACUAGGGAUGUCAAUGGGUAUGAAUACCCGAAAUUUUAUCCGAAUCCGAAUCCGAAUAAAACGGAUAUAUUCGGUGGAUAUGUAUAUAGAUUUGGAUAUGGAUAUAAAAAAUAAAAAUCCGACGGAUAUGGAUUCGGAUAUGGAUUUUGUCUGUACCUGAUCCGAAUCCGAAUCCGACCCGAACUCGAAUUUAUUUUGUAUUAUAUAUAAUAUAUAUAUAAAAAUUUGAUGUUAUAUUUGAAUUUGUAUUUUAAAAAUUUAAAUUUAAUAUAAUAUAUUUUAAAAUAUUGAAAAAAGAAAUAAUUGUUUCCGGUUCAAAUUUUCGGAUUCGGGUUUUAGAUUUUUGGUCGGAUUCAGAUUUGGAUAUGAAUUUUUAAAAUCCGUCGGGUUUGGAAUCGGGUUCGAGUUCGAAUUUUUAAAAAUCCGUCCCGAAUCCGACCCGUUGACAUCUCUGCUGUCAACAAGUGUGACCAUAAAAGAGGAAUAUUAUGCUUCCACUGGGUCCAAGAGCUGGGACUUGUUUGUUUAGACCGGAGUCCUGCACCGUAUUCCUAAAUUUAUCUAGUUCGAGAUCGUUAGAACUUAGAAAUAAAUAAUAUUGGCACUCACAUGCCCCGCGCAUGUGAGAGUGAGACUGUCUAUGGUAUAGCAAGUUCAUAUACAGCACAAACUCGCCAGUUGUUCUUGCUUGUUUUUUGGUAUCGUUUGGUUCGGAGAUAAGUAAAAAGUGACUAUUUUAGAAAUAGAUAUAAAUUUAGGUAUAAACAGGUAUUAGAUCAAUUUUAUGUUUGGAUGAAAAUUAGAUUAUUUCUGAGAAUAAAAAAAAUAGCGUUUGGUUAGGCAAUAUAAAAUAUCAAAUUUUAUCAUUUAAAAUUAAAAUUUUUAAUUUUGUAAUUUUAAAAAUUAUAAAUUUUUAUUUUUUAACUUACGAAAUUUAAAUUUUAAAAUAAAUUAAAAAUUCUCUCUCUCUCUCUCUCUCUCUCUCU
rnacentral:lncRNA from 1 species